rnacentral:lncRNA from 1 species
UUUUUUUUAAAGAAGAAGAAGAAGAAGAAGAAGAAGAAGAAGAAGAAGAAGAAGAACAAGAGCAGGAAUUGGUUGCUUUUGAAGUGGUAUAGUAUUUUUUUUUUAGAGAGAGAGAAGAAUAGCAUGCUAUCUGUAUUAUUCAUUAAGUAAAUCAAUUUAGCUAUAUAGAAAGAGGAAGUCAGGACUUCAAGAAGAUAGAGAGUCAAUGCAAAAAAAACAAAAAGAAAAAAAAGAAGAGAACAAAAAAGACGAGUAGAAUAGAUAUUGAAAUAAACGUAAAAAAACGAAGGGUGUAA